CCUACGGGGGGCAGCAGUGAGGAAUAUUGGUCAAUGGGCGGGAGCCUGAACCAGCCAAGUCGCGUGAGGGAAGAAGGUACUGAGUAUUGUAAACCUCUUUUGCCAGGGGACAAAGGCGGCCACGGGUGGCCGUAAGAGGGUACCUGGAGAAAAAGCAUCGGCUAACUCCGUGCCAGCAGCCGCGGUAAUACGGAGGAUGCGAGCGUUAUCCGGAUUUAUUGGGGUUAAAGGGUGCGCAGGCGGCGUGUCAAGUCAGCGGGAAAAUGUCGGGGCUCAACCCCGGCCGGCCGUUGAAACUGGCGGGCUCGAGUUGGAGAGAAGUAUGCGGAAUUCGUGGUGUAGCGGUGAAAUGCAUAGAUAUCACGAAGAACCCCGAUUGCGAAGGCAGCAUACCGGCUCCACACUGACGCUGAGGCACGAAAGCGUGGGUAGCGAACAGGAUUAGAUACCCUGGUAGUC
rnacentral:rRNA from 1 species